CUUAUAUUCUGUAGCAAGGUUAACCGAAUAGGGGAGCCGGAGGGAAACCGAGUCUUAAUUGGGCGUUAAGUUGCAGGGUAUAGACCCGAAACCCGGUGAUCUAGCCAUGGGCAGGUUGAAGGUUGGGUAACACUAACUGGAGGACCGAACCGACUAAUGUUGAAAAAUUAGCGGAUGACCUGUGGCUGGGGGUGAAAGGCCAAUCAAACCGGGAGAUAGCUGGUUCUCCCCGAAAGCUAUUUAGGUAGCGCCUCGUGAAUUCAUCUCCGGGGGUAGAGCACUGUUUCGGCUAGGGGGCCAUCCCGGCUUACCAACCCGAUGCAAACUGCGAAUACCGGAGAAUGUUAUCACGGGAGACACACGGCGGGUGCUAACGUCCGUCGUGAAGAGGGAAACAACCCAGACCGCCAGCUAAGGUCCCAAAGUCAUGGUUAAGUGGGAAACGAUGUGGGAAGGCCCAGACAGCCAGGAUGUUGGCUUAGAAGCAGCCAUCAUUUAAAGAAAGCGUAAUAGCUCACUGGUCGAGUCGGCCUGCGCGGAAGAUGUAACGGGGCUAAACCAUGCACCGAAGCUGCGGCAGCGACACUGUGUGUUGUUGGGUAGGGGAGCGUUCUGUAAGCCUGCGAAGGUGGCCUGUGAGGGUUGCUGGAGGUAUCAGAAGUGCGAAUGCUGACAUAAGUAACGAUAAAGCGGGUGAAAAGCCCGCUCGCCGGAAGACCAAGGGUUCCUGUCCAACGUUAAUCGGGGCAGGGUGAGUCGACCCCUAAGGCGAGGCCGAAAGGCGUAGUCGAUGGGAAACGGGUUAAUAUUCCCGUACUUGGUGUUACUGCGAAGGGGGGACGGAGAAGGCUAUGUUGGCCGGGCGACGGUUGUCCCGGUUUAAGCGUGUAGGUGUGUGUUCCAGGUAAAUCCGGUUCACUUUAACACUGAGGCGUGACGACGAGGCACUACGGUGCUGAAGCAACAAAUGCCCUGCUUCCAGGAAAAGCCUCUAAGCAUCAGGUAACAUCAAAUCGUACCCCAAACCGACACAGGUGGUCAGGUAGAGAAUACCAAGGCGCUUGAGAGAACUCGGGUGAAGGAACUAGGCAAAAUGGUGCCGUAACUUCGGGAGAAGGCACGCUGACACGUAGGUGAAGUGAUUUACUCAUGGAGCUGAAGUCAGUCGAAGAUACCAGCUGGCUGCAACUGUUUAUUAAAAACACAGCACUGUGCAAACACGAAAGUGGACGUAUACGGUGUGACGCCUGCCCGGUGCCGGAAGGUUAAUUGAUGGGGUCAGCGCAAGCGAAGCUCCUGAUCGAAGCCCCGGUAAACGGCGGCCGUAACUAUAACGGUCCUAAGGUAGCGAAAUUCCUUGUCGGGUAAGUUCCGACCUGCACGAAUGGCGUAAUGAUGGCCAGGCUGUCUCCACCCGAGACUCAGUGAAAUUGAACUCGCUGUGAAGAUGCAGUGUACCCGCGGCAAGACGGAAAGACCCCGUGAACCUUUACUAUAGCUUGACACUGAACAUUGAGCCUUGAUGUGUAGGAUAGGUGGGAGGCUUUGAAGUGUGGACGCCAGUCUGCAUGGAGCCGACCUUGAAAUACCACCCUUUAAUGUUUGAUGUUCUAACGUGGACCCGUUACCCGGGUUGCGGACAGUGUCUGGUGGGUAGUUUGACUGGGGCGGUCUCCUCCUAAAGAGUAACGGAGGAGCACGAAGGUUGGCUAAUCCUGGUCGGACAUCAGGAGGUUAGUGCAAUGGCAUAAGCCAGCUUGACUGCGAGCGUGACGGCGCGAGCAGGUGCGAAAGCAGGUCAUAGUGAUCCGGUGGUUCUGAAUGGAAGGGCCAUCGCUCAACGGAUAAAAGGUACUCCGGGGAUAACAGGCUGAUACCGCCCAAGAGUUCAUAUCGACGGCGGUGUUUGGCACCUCGAUGUCGGCUCAUCACAUCCUGGGGCUGAAGUAGGUCCCAAGGGUAUGGCUGUUCGCCAUUUAAAGUGGUACGCGAGCUGGGUUUAGAACGUCGUGAGACAGUUCGGUCCCUAUCUGCCGUGGGCGCUGGAGAACUGAGGGGGGCUGCUCCUAGUACGAGAGGACCGGAGUGGACGCAUCACUGGUGUUCGGGUUGUCAUGCCAAUGGCACUGCCCGGUAGCUAAAUGCGGAAGAGAUAAGUGCUGAAAGCAUCUAAGCACGAAACUUGCCCCGAGAUGAGUUCUCCCUGAGACUUAGAGUCUCCUGAAGGAACGUUGAAGACGACGACGUUGAUAGGCCGGGUGUGUAAGCGCAGCGAUGCGUUGAGCUAACCGGUACUAAUGAACCGUGAGGCUUAACCUUACAACGCCGAAG
rnacentral:rRNA from 1 species